rnacentral:misc_RNA from 1 species
GAACUGCGAUAAGUAAUGUGAAUUGCAGAAUUCAGUGAAUCAUCGAGUCUUUGAACGCACAUUGCGCCCCCUGGCAUUCCGGGGGGCAUGCCUGUCCGAGCGUCAUUGCUGCCCUUCAAGCCCGGCUUGUGUGUUGGGUCGUCGUCCCCUCCGGGGGACGGGCCCGAAAGGCAGCGGCGGCACCGCGUCCGGUCCUCGAGCGUAUGGGGCUUUGUCACCCGCUCGAUAAGGACCGGCCGGGCGCCAGCCGGCGUCUCCAACCUUUUUUUCUCAGGUUGACCUCGGAUCAGGCAGGGAUACCCGCUGAACUUAAGC